AACGCACAUUGCGCCUCCUGGUAUUCCGGGAGGCAUGCCUGUUCGAGCGUCAUUAAAAACCACUCAAGCUCUUUUGCUUGGUAUUGGGAGAGGAGUGCACUCGUUGCCCUCCCUUCCGAAAUUCAAUGGCGGAAAGCCCCAUGUGCCCCCGGCGUAGUAAGUUUUCUUUCGCUUGGAACGUGAGGUGAUCCUGCCGCAAACCCCCAAUUCUUUCUAGGUUGACCUCGGAUCAGGUAGGGAUACCCGCUGAACUUAA
rnacentral:misc_RNA from 1 species